rnacentral:rRNA from 1 species
GACGGAGGGUGCUAGCGUUUUUCGGAAUUACUGGGCGUAAAGGGCGCGUAGGCGGCCUGUUAAGUCGGGUGUGAAAGCCCGGGGCUCAACCCCGGAACGGCACCCGAGACUGGCGGGCUUGAGACCGCGAGAGGAGAGUGGAAUACCCAGUGUAGAGGUGAAAUUCGUAGAUAUUGGGUGGAACACCAGUGGCGAAAGCGGCUCUCUGGCUCGGUUCUGACGCUGAGGCGCGAAAGCGUGGGGAGCAAACAGG